rnacentral:rRNA from 1 species
AGCGGCGGACGGGUGAGUAAUGCUUGGGAACAUGCCUUGAGGUGGGGGACAACAGUUGGAAACGACUGCUAAUACCGCAUAAUGUCUACGGACCAAAGGGGGCUUCGGCUCUCGCCUUUAGAUUGGCCCAAGUGGGAUUAGCUAGUUGGUGAGGUAAUGGCUCACCAAGGCAACGAUCCCUAGCUGGUUUGAGAGGAUGAUCAGCCACACUGGAACUGAGACACGGUCCAGACUCCUACGGGAGGCAGCAGUGGGGAAUAUUGCACAAUGGGCGAAAGCCUGAUGCAGCCAUGCCGCGUGUGUGAAGAAGGCCUUCGGGUUGUAAAGCACUUUCAGUCAGGAGGAAAGGGUGUGAGUUAAUACCUCACAUCUGUGACGUUACUGACAGAAGAAGCACCGGCUAACUCCGUGCCAGCAGCCGCGGUAAUACGGAGGGUGCGAGCGUUAAUCGGAAUUACUGGGCGUAAAGCGUACGCAGGCGGUUUGUUAAGCGAGAUGUGAAAGCCCCGGGCUCAACCUGGGAACUGCAUUUCGAACUGGCAAACUAGAGUGUGAUAGAGGGUGGUAGAAUUUCAGGUGUAGCGGUGAAAUGCGUAGAGAUCUGAAGGAAUACCGAUGGCGAAGGCAGCCACCUGGGUCAACACUGACGCUCAUGUACGAAAGCGUGGGGAGCAAACGGGAUUAGAUACCCCGGUAGUCCACGCCGUAAACGAUGUCUACUAGAAGCUCGGAACCUCGGUUCUGUUUUUCAAAGCUAACGCAUUAAGUAGACCGCCCGGGGAGUACGGCCGCAAGGUUAAAACUCAGAUGAAUUGACGGGGGCCCGCACAAGCGGUGGAGCAUGUGGUUUAAUUCGAUGCAACGCGAAGAACCUUACCUACACUUGACAUACAGAGAACUUUCUAGAGAUAGAUUGGUGCCUUCGGGAACUCUGAUACAGGUGCUGCAUGGCUGUCGUCAGCUCGUGUUGUGAGAUGUUGGGUUAGUCCCGCACGAGCGCACCCCUAUCCUAGUUGCUAGCAGGUAUGCUGAGACUCUAAGGAGAUGCCGUGAUAACCGGAGAAGGUGGGACAACUCAGUCUCAGGCCCUUCUGUAGGGUACCCC